rnacentral:rRNA from 1 species
UAAGGAAUAUUGGUCAAUGGACGCAAGUCUGAACCAGCCAUGCCGCGUGAAGGAUGAAGGUCCUCUGGAUUGUAAACUUCUUUUAUAUGGGACGAAAAAAGGGCAUUCUUGCUCACUUGACGGUACCAUAGGAAUAAGCACCGGCUAACUCCGUGCCAGCAGCCGCGGUAAUACGGAGGGUGCAAGCGUUAUCCGGAUUCACUGGGUUUAAAGGGUGCGUAGGUGGGUUUGUAAGUCAGCGGUGAAAUCCCCAAGCUUAACUUGGGAACUGCCAUUGAUACUAUAGAUCUUGAAUCAUCUGGAGGUAAGCGGAAUAUGUCAUGUAGCGGUGAAAUGCUUAGAUAUGACAUAGAACACCAAUUGCGAAGGCAGCUUACUACGGGUGCAUUGACACUGAGGC